rnacentral:rRNA from 1 species
CCUACGGGGAGCAGCAGUGAGGAAUAUUGGUCAAUGGACGAGAGUCUGAACCAGCCAAGUAGCGUGAAGGAUGACUGCCCUAUGGGUUGUAAACUUCUUUUAUAAAGGAAUAAAACGAGGCACGUGUGCAUUUUUGCAUGUACUUUAUGAAUAAGGAUCGGCUAACUCCGCGCCAGCAGCCGCGGUAAUACGGAGGAUCCGAGCGUUAUCCGGAUUCAUUGGGUGUAAAGGGAGCGUAGAUGGGUUGUUAAGUCAGUUGUGAAAGUUUGCGGCUCAACCGUAGAAUUGCAAUUGAUACUGGCUGUCUUGAGUACAGUUGAGGUAGGCGGAAUUCGUGGUGUAGCGGUGAAAUGCUUAGAUAUCACGAAGAACCCCGAUUGCGAAGGCAGCUUACUAAACUGUGACUGACAUUGAUGCUCGAAGGUGUAGGUAUCAAACAGGAUUAGAUACCCCAGUAGUC